rnacentral:rRNA from 1 species
UAACCCUUUGAUUUUGGGGGUCGAAACAUGCACUAAAUUUUUUAAUACAUGCUAGUCAUAAGGCAAAUAGGUGAGUAAAUCAGUAGAUUAAUACAGAGAAGUUACCAGGAAAAAUCGUUAUAAUAUUAAGAUAUUCCUAAGACGACAAGGUUAACCCCACAUUUUUACUGAAACAAAGAAAAAUCUUUUACAGCAGUAUAGAAUAUUAUACAAUUAACUUAAGUUAGAUAUAGAAAAUUGUUUUUAAAAUUGUCUUAUCAGGUGCCAGCAGACGCGGUUACACCUGAGAUUUUAGUUUUUUCGAUAAAAAAGGCAAAAAGAAUGUUAAGAAUUUUUGAAAGACGUAACAAGAAAUAGCAGAAGAUUCACGAAAAGAUAAAAUUUUUAGAUGUGAAAUCGAAUACCCUUUUGAACAGCAUUUCUUACAAAACGUUUGACACAUGAAACAACAGAUAGCAAAUAGGAUUAGAUACCCUAGUAACCUGUUGCGUGAAUAAAGACAAUCUUUUAGAAGAAGAUUUUCCGCCUGAGUAUUAUAAUCAACUGAUCAAAAUUCAAAAAAUCUGGCUGUUCAUUUUCCAUUUAGAGGAUUGUGUAGUUUAAUCCGAUAAUCCGCGAAUCAUCUUACCUCAACUUGAUAAUACAGGCGUUGCAUGGCCGUCUUCAGUCCGUUUUUGAUAAUACGAACUCAAUUUUUCAAAAAGAUUAAGUCAGGUAUUAUGACCCUAAUGUUGAGGGAUAUAUGCAAUACAUUAUAUAUGACAAUACAACCAAAAUUUCCGAAUAAAUCCUGAAAAGGUAAUUUGAAGUUGAAUUUAACAGUAAAUAGAAUAAGAGAAUUCUAUUGAAUAGGUUAAAAUGUUAGUACAAAUCGCCCGUCACCUUUAACAAUUAAAAUAAUAAUAAUGACAAAACAAAUUUUUAAAAGUUAAAGCAAGUCGUAACAUAGUGAGAGGAAGGGAACUUCCUCUUGGAUCUAU